ACACACACACACACACACACUAGGGCUGGGCGAUAUACCGGUUUUAAAAUUAUACCGGUAUAUUUUUGAAAGCGAUAUGUAGUUGAGACAAUAUCGCCAUACCGGUAUAUUAUAUAUUAUUUUGAUGUUGCCUUGCGAGCGCUAUUUUAUAAAGCUGACCGCUGCUCUCUGAGCCUACAAACCAUGUUCAGCUGCUCAAUCCCGCCCCUUAUAUGUACGCAGCGUUCUCCCACCCACGGACGUUUCGCAUCACAACAAAACGUUUCUCGUGAGCACGAGAAAGUAUCUGGUGCGCACGAGAAAGUAUCUGGUGCGCACGAGAAAGUAUCUCGUUCGCACGAGAAAGUAUCUGGUGCGCAUAUCACUGUGUGUGUGUGUGUGUGUGUGUGUGUGUGUGUGUCGUGUGAGUGCAGUGGACGAGCGAGCGGUAGCGUGCAUGUAAGUUUAGUGAAGUAAUGAUCGAGUCCGGUUGUGUGUAAAAGAAUAAAGCACCCGGCAAGAAUCGGUGGCCGCUUCAUUCCGACCCGAUUCCGACCUAUAAGCAGACCCACUGCCGGUCAAAGUAAAGGGUGUGUUGCCCCUGAGAGAUCAUCGGCCCUGGAGGGAACGUGUCUGGGAGCCGACAGCAGAAAGUUGUAACACUAACCAUCUCGUAGUCAGAGGCAGAGCGCAAGAAAGUAGUACGUGCUCCAAUAGUGCAAGAUAAAAAUAAAGCACAUUAAUUUGAAUGAUUUUAGCUUGUGUGUGAUUUAUCGCGGGCACGGACACGCACAAGCUAAAAUCAUUCAUAUUAUAGAAGAGGCUGUCAAGGAAAACAGGAUUUCUUGUCUCCGAUGACUUCUUUGGUAUCACUCCGCAAAUAGUCUGGUAACUUGUCAACUCCAGCGUCUUCGGUUGCUAUGCGACUAUCUAGUCUUUGGCAGACUAUUUCUCUGCUGAUCAACACUACGAAUGCUGGUUACAAAUAAAUUGUAAAAAGACACACCAUGAAGUUAUUUUUUCGUUUAGGCAAGUAGCCGUGUAAUAAUCGGGAUAAUGUAUAGAACGUCGUCGGUCAUUAUUGAAAAUAAGCCCCUUUAGGUCGGUGUCCUGUUCGCCUUGUCGGGGCUUAUUUUCCCGAUAAUGACCGGCGUUCUUUACAUUAUCCCUUACAUAUCUGUUGUUAAAGCACAGCUAUGCUUCGUUGAGCAAAAAAAAAAGAAAACACUAAAUAAAUGGUUGAUAGUGGCGUGGAGUUAAAACUACACACUUUACCUGUUUUGUUCAAAAUAUCGUUAUAAUAUCGUAUAUCGCCAUUCAAACAGAAAAUAUCGAGAUAUGAGUUUUGGUCCAUAUCGCCCAGCCCUAACACACACACACACACACACACACACACACACACACACACACACACACACACACACACACACACACACACACACAAACAUGUCCGAACCCCAGACCAAACCCACUACUAGGGCUGCAACAACGAAUCAAAAAUAAAAAAAUAAAAAAUAGUAUUCCAGUUUUUAAAUCCAUGUUAAAAUUGGCAGGUUAUAGAGCUAGUUGGCUUAAAAAAAAGUGACAAACAGUGGCAAAUGUGAUGUGUUCAGGUCGGCUCAGUAAUAUGAUUGUUGUGUUCAAAUGCAACACAAAAAAAAAAGAAAUUUGAUAUUUUGGCAAAAAUUUGUUUUCCCAGCAAUAUAAAAUAGAUAGUAAAGAUGGAAUUAUGACCUCUUUAACGUCCUAUUAUCUUGAGCUAUGAUCAUCUUAUCAGCAAUUAAAGCAAUAAUACAUUUCAACAAAAUAAUAGAAAAGUAUCAAUAGUGUUAUCAAUAUACACUUGGAUCGUUAAGGAGUCUCGAAAAUGAAAUAAACAUUAACGAUCUCCUGUCAUCUGAGAGAAAUUAACAUGAUUUAAUUUAUUUUUAACCGUUAGUAUUUACCGGUUAAAGAUCUUAUUUUUUUUUAUGUUAUCCCAUUUAUGUCAUUAAAAGUAAUACAUCAUUUAAUAUUACUUUUAAUUGUUCCGCGACGUUGGAGCAAUAACCUGGUGUUUUUACACUUCAGUCUGCACUGUGAAUUUGAAGUAAUGUUCAGUUUUUUUUAAUAAAGUUACAAAAACAAAUGUUUCUUUUUUGAUCCGAUUCAUCGAUUAAUCGAUUAUUAAAUUCAUCGUUAGUUGCAGCCCUACCCACUACCCAUCACUACUAUAUCAUAUUGACCUUGCUCUCCAUAGACAGACCAGUUUAAGCUCCACUGCCUCAACAGAUAACGCUCCGACAAGUUCUUGGUCAAGCAAACAAAGCAAAGUUUAAAAUUAGAAACUACUUCAUGUGUUCCACUUUCCUUUCGGGUAAUGGGCUAAUUCACCCCGAGGAAGCUGUUAUGAUGUUUCAGAGUUACACAGCCCUGCAGGUAUGUUGGCCGGCAGCACAUACAUAGUAGCCUGGCACCGCCCACCUACCUACUUCCGCUAAAUUUUCAUUUCACUUCAGUACUAGGUCUGGGUCUGCUUAAUAUGAAUGCGUUCCAUGGAAACCAGAUUUCUGGCGGUCCAAUCAGCGAACAUAGGGAGUGGCUGAGAACGAUGACGUCUAGGUUGCGCGCCAGUUUCAGUUGUAGUCAGACGAAGACAAUGGAGAAGGAUACCAGAGAAGCCAUUCGGUCUGUUGUGAGAUAGCUGCCGAAAAUCGAUCAAUUAAAGCCGGAGCAAGAACAAGCUUUCCAGAGUUUUGUUUGUGGCCAUGAUGUUGUGGCGCUUCUCCCCACCGGGUUCGGGAAAAGUUUGAUUUUCCAGCUGGCUCCGUUAGUGGUGAAGGAGCCGGUCCCAUCGCAUGACAUACGUCACGACCAAACACUAUGCGAUUGGUUAUGGCAGAUCCAGAGUGGCACUGGGCAGAUCCAAUCAUUUUAAAACUUCUACAGACACCCGCCUCCAAGUGAGUGAACAUUUGUCAAUUGAGCACUUCCAGACCUUCUGUACAAAUGAAAUGAGGUACGAUGGUCUGGUAGGACCAGGCUACAUACAUAGUGCGCCUUGUUAAACAUUAUAAAUAUUAUGAAGUUUAUAAUGUCAAUCUAUAAGGCCCCAGUGGCCUUCCAUCCCCUACUGUGGUUUACUGCUGCCACUUAACCCUUCAGUCGCGGUCCCUUGUUUCAGGAUGUGGUACUGCAGUACAGAACCUAGAGUAUAGUAGAAUGGUACGUAUGGUAUGCUGUAGCACACAUUAUUUCUUGUGUUCUUCAGAAUUCCGGACCAAUCUAGUUUCUGGUUGGUUUUGAUUUAGUAAAAAGAAAGCUUGCAACAUUUAAAUAUGUUUGACACAGA